GAUGAACGCUGGCUACAGGCUUAACACAUGCAAGUCGAGGGGAAACGACGGGGAAGCUUGCUUCCCCGGGCGUCGACCGGCGCACGGGUGAGUAACGCGUAUCCAACCCGCCUCUGACUGAGGGAUAACCCGUCGAAAGUCGGCCUAAUACCUCAUGGCAUCGUCUGCGGGCAUCCAACGACGAUUAAAGAUUUCAUCGGUCAGAGAUGGGGAUGCGUCUGAUUAGCUUGUUGGCGGGGUAACGGCCCACCAAGGCGACGAUCAGUAGGGGUUCUGAGAGGAAGGUCCCCCACAUUGGAACUGAGACACGGUCCAAACUCCUACGGGAGGCAGCAGUGAGGAAUAUUGGUCAAUGGGCGAGAGCCUGAACCAGCCAAGUAGCGUGCAGGAUGACGGCCCUAUGGGUUGUAAACUGCUUUUAUGCGGGGAUAAAGUGAGGGACGUGUCCUUCAUUGCAGGUACCGAAUGAAUAAGGACCGGCUAAUUCCGUG
rnacentral:rRNA from 1 species